rnacentral:rRNA from 1 species
UGGGGAAUAUUGGACAAUGGGCGAAAGCCUGAUCCAGCAAUGCCGCGUGUGUGAAGAAGGCCUUCGGGUCGUAAAGCACUUUUAGUAAAGAAGAAAUACUCAAGGUUAAUAACCUUGGGGGAUGACGUUAUUUACAGAAAAAGCACCGGCUAACUCUGUGCCAGCAGCCGCGGUAAUACAGAGGGUGCGAGCGUUAAUCGGAAUUACUGGGCGUAAAGCGUGCGUAGGUGGAUACCUAAGUCGGGUGUGAAAUCCCCGGGCUCAACCUGGGAACUGCAUUCGAUACUGGGUAUCUGGAGUAUAGUAGAGGAAAGCGGAAUUCCCGGUGUAGCGGUGAAAUGCGUAGAUAUCGGGAGGAACAUCAAUGGCGAAGGCGGCUUUCUGGACUAAUACUGACACUGAGGCACGAAAGCGUGGGGAGCAAACAGG